rnacentral:rRNA from 1 species
AUUGAACGCUGGCGGCGGGCCUAACACAUGCAAGUCGAACGAGUGGCGGACGGGUGAGUAAUGUCUGGGAAACUGCCUGAUGGAGGGGGAUAACUACUGGAAACGGUAGCUAAUACCGCAUACCAUCGGAUGUGCCCAGAGGGGAUUAGCUAGUAGGUGGGGUAAAGGUUCACCUAGGCGCCGAUCCCUAGCUGGGCUGGGAGGAUGACCAGCCACACUGGAACUGAGACACGGUCCAGACUCCUACGGUAGGCAGCAGUGGGGAAUAUGGGACAAUGGGCGAAAGCCUGACGCAGCCAUGGCGCGUGUAUGAAGAAGGCCUUCGGGUUGUAAGGUACUUUCAGCGGGGAGGCGGUACCCGCAGAAGAAGCACCGGCUAACUCCGUGCCAGCAGCCGCGGUAAUUC